UACGAAGGGGGCUAGCGUUGCUCGGAAUCACUGGGCGUAAAGCGCACGUAGGCGGAUUGCUAAGUCAGGGGGUGAAAUCCUGGAGCUCAACUCCAGAACUGCCUUUGAUACUGGUAGUCUCGAGUCCGGAAGAGGUGAGUGGAAUUCCGAGUGUAGAGGUGAAAUUCGUAGAUAUUCGGAGGAACACCAGUGGCGAAGGCGGCUCACUGGUCCGGUACUGACGCUGAGGUGCGAAAGCGUGGGGAGCAAACAGG
rnacentral:rRNA from 1 species